rnacentral:rRNA from 1 species
GAUCCUGGCUCAAGAUGAACGCUAGCUACAGGCUUAACACAUGCAAGUCGAGGGGCAGCGGGAUUGAAGCUUGCUUCAAUUGCCGGCGACCGGCGCACGGGUGGGUAACGCGUAUCCAACCUUCCGUACACUCAGGGAUAGCCUUUCGAAAGAAAGAUUAAUACCUGAUGGUAUCUUAAGCACACAUGUAAUUAAGAUUAAAGAUUUAUCGGUGUACGAUGGGGAUGCGUUCCAUUAGGUAGUAGGG